CUUAAAGGUUGGGGGCAAGGAAAGUGAGCAUGUCAACUCGGUUGGGCUUGAGGCAUGACCUCUUGCAGGUAACAAUGUUACCGCUGGUGCUGAAGGCCCAUUCAGAUGAAGCACUGGUCACGGGAAUACACAGAUAUUUCUUUGCAAGCUUGGCUACACGAGGGAAGUUCAUCCCAUGCAGUUUCCACCAUUCCAGAGGGUCGGCCUCUGAGUCAGGCUCAGGAGCCCGCAGGUACAUAUUCAGCUUCAUCUCGAUUUGCAUCCUGCUGGGGGCAGUGCCAUGGCCUGGUGCAGGUGUCUUCUUGAAGUAGCUUGCAAGACUCUUCCUUACCUUCAUUGCUGGAAGGAGAGGCUGUGGAUCAUCCUCUUCCUUUAUAGCAGCAGCAGCUGGUGGAGGUGAGGGGGCUGCUGCUGUAGGUGCAUGUUCAGAUCUCACCAUGUCCUCCAUCUCUGUAGCAGCACAAGCCUUGAUCAGCUCCACCCUCUCUGCAUCCCGGAUGUAGGCCGUCUUGAAGCGCGGGUUGACCAGUGUGGCUAUGUCGAGGAGGUCGUCGGUGGUAGGGUCAUCAUAUUUCUCGUUCAGGUACUGAAGGAUGGCCUCACGGAUGGCCUCUGUCAGCUCUGGGUCAUCCUGCCUUUUGAGUACCUCAGUGUUAAAGAGAUGGAUGACGGGCUUCAGGAAGGAGAUGCUGACGUCCCCCGACAAGGCAUCAGUGAACUCCAUAAGAGGAGCCAGGGCCUUGUUCAUGCUCUCAAGGAGGGAAAUAUCUUGCCAGCUUGGCACCAGGUGUCUCUUCUGUGUCAGAGAAUAAAGGAAAGGGGCUGUUUAAUGAGGUGAAUUAUUGCUGUGUGUCUGUGUCUGUGUGUGUGCUUGUGUGUACAGUUGAGGAACUGUAGAGUGUGUGUGUGUGUGUGUGUGUGUGUGUGUGUGUGUACAGUGGAAAAUAAGCUGUGAUACACUUGGAUUAGCUGACUCACCUUCUUGUCCGCACGGAGGACUUGGGACAGAGCGCUCUCCUGCUCUAGAAACCUCUUGAUCAUUGAAACGCGUGAACCCUAUCUUGUAGGAGACUCGGUGAUGAGCUCAUGGAAAGGCAAGCCCAGGGCCUCCUGAGCCUUGUGGAGCUCCCUCCUUUUCUUGGGUGAGUUAGAUAAGGUACUGACGACCUUCUUACACAUCCCCACAGCCUGUUCGACAGCGUUCUUUUGUGCUUGUGGUAAAGCUCUCAGAGCGGCCUCUGUUUAGAUAUAAGGGGAAAGAACAUAGCUAAUCAUUAUGUUUUGAUAGCAAUUUUGAACAUUUUAGGUAUUUUAACUUGAUCAUGUAUUUAUGCAUCUUAUUAUUAUAUUUAAUGACAUUACACAUUUAUGCUGUAUUUAAAUACUCAAUGCAUACAUUUAAAUGAAUUAACUAUUUGAUCUGCAGACUAAAGUAACAAUUAUAAGUCACAUCCAAUACAGGUGAAUUAAGAUGAGUAUGACUUGUUCAAUAUAGGCUAGACCUAACCAAACAACACACAAGAAAACCAAACUUAAUUCCAAAUCACUAAUAUUGUAGCUUUUGUUGUUGUUGUAAUAUAUCCCAUUACAAUAUUAGACUGGGCUGUGUUGUGUUCCUCACCAAUGGCUAACUGGAGACGGUGACCAAAGCACUGAAGACUUAGCAAAUCAUUGAUCUGCGCUGUGGUGAUGUUAUUGGCAGCAUCGUCUGUGGUGAUAGAGACGAGGUCGGUCUCCUCCAGUCCCCAUGACUCCAGUGCAUCACUCAAAGCUAGAGCAGCUGAAUGAAUGCUAUCAGGGUUCACUGCCACACACAUAGCCACAUAAACCCUAACACUACACAAAGCCUGACAGGACAGUUUAAAUAAUAAACGGGAUACUGCAUGCAAAGGUACAUCCUUACACUCUAUUCGGAGGUAUGUUAGAAAAACGACACAAGAAACAUGGAUAAAGACAGCAAUAAUAACGUUACCUGCCACACAUACCUUGGGCUAUCGUGGCUCCCGUGUGAUCCUCUGGGAAAUAAGAAGGCAGCGAGAGCACAGGUUCCAGUCCCGGUCAAUGAAGUGGAUAGUGAGAGACAUGUAGGACUGGGUCACUCGGCUCGUCCAAAGGUCAGUUGUCAAGGCGCAAAAACACGCAUUGCGGAUCUCUUUGGCCCCGGUCUCUCGGUACAAACAAGGCAGCUCGAUUCGAGUGAAGUACUUCCAACUUGGCGCGAUAUAUCUGGGGUCUAGCGUUUUGAUGAGGUCUUUGAAUGCCUUCUUUUCCACCAAGUACACCGGGACCAUACCUUUAACAAUGAGGCGUGCAAUGGCGUCUGUUAUUUGUUGGUAAAUGCAGGACGUUUUCUUGUAGGGUUUGUUUCGUACCAGAGCGUCUUGAAUUUUUGGUUGAUUGGGUUUAGCGCUGCUAGCAUUGAUUGGUGUGACUCUUGCCUUUUGGGUCUCAGUGUACUCCUUCUCGUGGUGUUUUCUGAGGUGGUAGAAUAAGUUGGUUGUGUUAGCGUUGGGCGAUGGAACACUUUUCUUGCAUACUUUGCAUAUGACCGUUUUCUGCUCUGAAUCCGUCGCUUUGAAACCAAGAUAAAGCCAGACUGAAGAGCUACCCCCUUGUUUGGGUAGGAGUUUGUCCUGGGAUGCCGUCUCUGCUGAUUGUGGGGGUUCAAUUUCUUUUUUCGCCAGCGUAUUGCCUACCCCUCCUGUCUCCAUGUUUACUUACAAUGAUCCCCUCACAUGUGUAACCCAGGUAACCCGCAACGGCUGGAGACGCUGGACACAAAGAGGGCACGCAAAGCGGUGUCAUGUCGCAAAAUCGAAAGAGAAAUGCCAGCUUCCAUGUCAACGCAUCCUUUCCUUUGUAAGGAAAUAUUGUUUUUUUUCCCGUUUGACACCAAAUGCACUUACUGAAUGUGCAAUUAUUGUUGUUGUUACUAUGAAUCAUCUGAUGGCACAAGCCCUAUGGAUAAAAUACAGCCUAUCGCUUCAAACGAUAAAAAUAGAAAUGGCAUGGGAGUUGAUUCCAUCUUUAACCCAAAAGGUCCAGCUAGCUCAUCUUGCUGGUGUCUGAUUCGAAGUGGAGCUCUGUGCCCAUUACUGAUCCAGGCACGGGUCCAUCCAUCUGGUCCGUCAAGAGUCACUCUCAUCCCAUCAGUCCAUAAAACCUUUGAAAAAUCUCUCUACAGAUAUUUCUUGGCCCAGUCUUGACGUUUCAACUUGUGUCUUGUUCAGUGGUGGUCAGGUUUCAGCCUUCCUUACCUUGGCCAUGUCUCUGAGCACUGAUCAUCUUGUACCUCUGGGCACUCCAGGUAGGUUGCAGUUCUGGAAUAUGACGGCACCGGAGGAUAAGCGAUUCCUGGUAGCUUUACGUUUGAGUCUUCUCAAAUCUUUGGCAGUUAAUUUGCGUUUUUUUUUUCUUAACACAUUUCUUGCGACCCUGUUGACUAUUUGCAUCAAAAUGUUUGCUGAUUUUGUGAUCACGCCCAAAUAUCUAUGCAAUUUCAAGAGUGCUGCAUCCCUCUGAAAGACUUUUUACAUUUUUUGACUUUUCGGAGUCACUUAAAUCUCUUUUUUGGCCCAUUUUACCUGAGGAAAAAAGAAGCUGCCUAAUAAUUAUGCACACCUUGAUAUAGGGUUUUGAUCUCCUUAGGCCCCAGCCUCCCUCAUUACACUAAUACACAUUACCUGAUAUGCUUAUAUCCAAUAAACAUUCAAGUUUAUAUAGCUUGGAGUUGGAAAAUAUGCAUAAAAAUGAUGAUAUGAUCAAAAUACUCACUUGCCUAAUAAUUGUGCACACAGUGUAGAGAUUAGUUCAACAUUUUAUUAACAUACAAAGUAAAUAACAAAGCAAAUUCAAUAAACGCAUCACUCUCGCAUAUCUCGCGUUUGUUUUCCUUUCAUUGAAGUGUUCAUUUUCCAACAACCACUGCUUAAAUAUAGUUCACAGCUGAAACCGACCUGAGUCAUCCCAAACUGUAAAGUAAAAGUAUCAAUCCAGUGUCUGUGAGGCUCAGCAGAAACACAGUACGAUCUCCGGUUGUCUGGAAACUUUGGACAAAUAUAGUGAUCCGAUUUAUGAAUGAAUGCUGACCAUGUUACGAGAAAUUCCCGGGAGAAAUGACAAUUCAGGGGGUGGGCGGGAGAUAGGUCUGAAAUACGGGAGAGUCUUGGGAAAAACGGGAGUGUUGGCAGGUACGGAUAUGAUUGAUCGCUGUUUUGGUCUAGUGGCUGCACCGCUAGUUGUAGCUAAACUGCUAAUGCUACUUGUGCCGUCAGCAGUGACAGGCUGUGCUGACUCUGCUUGCAUUUUCAUGCUUCCCGCAUAAUCACUCGGGAAGACCAGAUUUGUUAUGUUGCCGGUUUAUCUGCUUAAUUGCUCGACGUCACUUUGGAGAGACAUUGAAUAACUUCUCAACAAUACCAUCUUCAGAGGAUGACUCAAAGUCACGGUUCACAUCUAUUUUGCUGCCCUCAGCUCCGCGUUUAGCUCCAUGUUCGGUCAUUCUGUUUAUUUCUCCUUACUUCUCCGGUAACUUACAGAACUGAGCAGGAAAGCUCGACUCUGAUUGGCUGUUGUGACGCACAUUUCUGCCAUGUUUGAUCGAGUAAAUAUGCUUGCAGCUGAUCACCGUGAUCGAACUGAAAUUUAUCGCGAUCAUCGAUCACGAUCAUAUAAUCGCCUAGUCCUACUUUGCACUGUAGCGACUGGAACUUGAAAACAUUUAGGUAUGGCCUUAUAGGCCUUUCCUGACCUUGAGCAGCCACAAUGCGCAGCCGCAGGUCCUCAGUGAGCUCCUUUGUCUUAGUCAUGACUGUCCAAAACCCAACUGCAGAGAGCUGUUUUUCACCUGUUAAGUUGAUCAAAACAGCUGUUUCCAGGGUAAUUAGGAUGCUUUAGAACAGCUUGGACUAUUUGGAAUGGUAUAGAACUUUGGACUCUCCCAUAGACAGAGACAGUUUGCAAAGGGUAUGAACAAUUUUGGACAUGCCACUUUUUGUUCAAAUGUAAAUAAAAGCUUUGAAAUAUUUCUUUCAACAAUGAUGCCUCUUGUACAUCAUCUUAUUAUCUUCUGGGAGAUGCCUGUGUCAUUUCCAAUUAAUAAAAAACUUGCUAGUUGAAUAAAAGUGAAUUUAAGUCAAAAUUUGCCAGGAGUAUGAAAAAUUUGGGGCUUGACUGUAUAUAAAGAUAUGUGUGUGUGUGUGUGUGUGUGUGCGCGUGUGUGUGUGUUUAUAUAUUUAUAUAUUUAUAUAUGUGUAUAUAUAUACACCUUUACAUAUAUUUACAUAUACAUUUACAUAAAUAUAUAUAUAUUUAUAUAUAUAUAUAUUUAUAAUUUCUUUGGUUGGUUGGUUUGGUUGAUAAUUUCAUUUAUUCAGUUUUUGUUUUGUGCGUUUGCUCUGUCGCAUUAUUCUUUUUACUUUAAUUAGUCACUAUUAUUACUUACUACAUAGGGAUACACACACACACACACACACACACAAAGUUAAACUGUUACUCUAGCUUGUGUUUAUCUUGUCUCUCCUCCCCAUCUUUCUCACAUGUGUGCCAACAAGUCUGAGUUCUUAUUCAGAGUGAGAUUUUACAAAAACGAGGGAAUCACAGACGACUACAGCUUGACUGACUGACGGGCAUGAAAAUCAGAAAACAGCAGAAAUCCAAACGCUCAUCCACACUCUUCUCCUCCUCCUUAAACAAGAUCCCACCUGUCUGCAGGACUAACCUGAACACAGGUUCAGGUCCAGUGUAUCACCGCGGCCCGUUCAUCCAUUCAUAUUCUAAUAGAACUGUCCUCUUUAUAUGAAAGCACAGAUGACUCAUGAACAUGCCUGUAAUUAUACUUCAUUACUCAGAUAUGGACCAUCAGAGGUUUGAACCUCUGCCUCCAGAAAACAGAAAUGCUGUCGUCACGCAGCAGUAGCAGCAGCAGCAGCAGCUGAAGACGACUAUAAAAGGACUUCCUCUUCCUCCUCUCUGAUCUCCUCUGUGUCUCUCUGAGGAACCCCCCCCCCCCCCCCCCCCCACACACACACACACACACACACACACACACACGCACACACACAAACAAACACACACACACACACUGUCUUCUGUUUCUUCCUCUUCCAUCAGAAGAUCAGGUGAGAAAGUCUCAAGGCAAAGGAUGUUUGUUAUCGACCUUAAAUGUUCCUCUGUAAACACACACGAGUGUGUGUGUGUGUGUGUGUGUGUUUGCUGCAUCAGACGAUCAUAAAAGUUUAAGGAGUAAAUCUUCAUCCUCAAAGGGUAAAGGUCAUUUUUAAGGUUUCCAGCUGACGGGGUUCAGAACUGUCCAGGACUGCAGUCUGACUUUUCACAAACAUAAAUAUGAGCAGCUGAAGGAAGAACCAUGAGUCUGCAGACUUAUUGGACCAAGGCCAGGGACCCGUGGCAGCCAUGUACAUGUCAUCGAUUGUCAGUAUAUCUUUGCUCUAAGAGGGCAUUCAGUGUUGUUCAGAGAAAUUCAGAAAUACAAACUUGAUGCAACAAGUGCCCCCUGCAGGCCUGGAGGACUCACAUAUGAAAGCCUGAGUGUGCAACAUUUCUUCUUCUGCAGUUUCAUUUGUAUCAGUGAAUCAUUUGUACUAUACUUUAAAGUUGUAUUUGCACAUAACUCCAGUGCUCUCUUCUCUACACUGGCUUCCAGUUAGGCACAGGAUCGUUUUUAAGAUUCUUUUAUUUGUUUUUAAAUCUCUGAAUGGGCUGGCCCUGGAGUACCUGGCUGACCUUGUUAAGCUACACCAACCCUCCAGAGCCCUUAGGUCUGCUGACCGAGUCGUUUUAGACGUGCCUCGUUCGUUUUUAAAAUCCAGAGGGGCGCGAGUGUUUGCGGUUACAGCUCCCACUUUGUGGAAUGCACUACCCCUAAGUGUGCGCACUGCAAAUAGUCUCUCUACUUUUAAAACCCAACUGAAGACGCACUUGUUCACCUUAACUUUUGACGGAGUAUGAUACUUGUAUUGGUUAUAUAUUUGUUUUUAUUUACAUUUAUCUGUUACAUGUCUUUUGUUGCUGCUGUUUGUUGUGUAUGACUUGCUUUUAUUGCUACUGCUUCGUUAUUGUAAAGCACUUUGGUAGGCCACUGGCUGUUUAAAUGUGCUAUACAAAUAAAAUUGACAUUUACAUUGACAUGUCUGUCUUUGUGUCUGCUUGUAGAGACCACACAACCCUAAGUACAAUUAAAUUACACAUGCACGCAUUCGUGGAAGAUUGAAGGGCCUACAAACUGGAUUUUCAUCAUUUUUACCUUUAAAUUAGGGCUGGGCGAUAUGUGGAAGAGUUUAUCACAAUAUAUUAUUUCAUAUCAGUUAAUAUAGAUAUGCAUCACGAUAAAAAAAUGAAAUUUAACAGUGUUUAUUGGUCGCAUGUCUUUUCCAAUACAAUAAUCUCCUGCAUCUUUGCGGUCUCUGUGUCUCUUUGACGUUUUGUCGUAAGGCGUUGCUCUAGAGAAAGUGGACUGAAUGAUCGGCUGUUUCAGGCGCCAUGGGCUCCUUGCUCCUCUCUGGGUUUGUAACCUUUUGCGUUGCACGUGCUCUGCUUCAAGUGGUGAAAAAGAUUUGAGGUAUUCCCCGACUUUGUGAGAACAUGUACUCGACAUCAUUUGCAGUACACAUUACUCUGCUUUAUGUCCAACCUCAAAAAAACAAAAUACCUCCACAUCACCAACGUUUUUGUGCCAGUGUUGUCGACGAUGUCUUCAUCCGUUGAGCCUUCAUGGUCAUUUCUGUCAGGGGUAGCACUCAUUUUCUUUUUUUCUCACCAACAGUGCUAUCGGCUUCACCUGUUAAAGUGCUAUGGUUGGGUGUAGCUGCUGUCUGCUACAACACAGUUGUUCGCUACUUGGUUCUAAUUCAGCACAUGAUUGGUUCAGCGUGAAGUGGACCUUCAGCAACUCCCCUUUUCAUUGGUUAUUCGUAUAGUCAACCAAAACAUGGCAGAAUGCCGAUUAUCGAAAAGGAUAUUGACCAUGUUUUAUAUAUUGAUAUUGAGAGAAAUUGAUUGUCGAUAUAUAUCGUUAUUGUUUUAUCGCCCAGCCCUACUUUAGAUAAAACCUGUUUUUGCAUUUUAAUUAGACAUGCAGACUGAGGUCUGGAAAUCCUCUACUGUGUUUAAGCUGUUGUCCAGGAGAUCUCGGUUAAUUCAGUGAGAUGUUCCAGCUUCACGCUCCGCAUACUUUCUUCAGAUAAACUCACAUUUAGUCUCUAUUAUCAUAUAACAGACACUGGAGCUAAUUAAAGGGGAAGCGCUGUGGUUCGUUGUUUGUGAAAAAUCGUCUUUGUCAGAAUUAUGGGAAGAACGUCGGUCAUGUGGGCUGAACAGACUCAGUAACCGUUGAGAUGAUAUUUGUAUGAAACAGGGCCAAGAGCAGAGAUGGAAUCAGAUGGGGAACAUGUGAGCGCUCUGUUCAUUAAAGUGUCCAAUCAGAAUGAAGAUGAGGAGGAGCGGCAGACCUCAGGAGGAGUUGCGACAGCCUAAACUCCUCUAAUGAGAGGAGAGAGCAGUGAUUAGACUAAUAGGUGAUCUGUCCACUUAAUGCAAAUCAAUCCACUCACAUGUCAAUGAGCCGCCCAUGAAACGCCGCUUUCAGGCAGGCUGAGCAGACCUCCACUCAUCCUCCUCCUCCUCCUCCUCCUCCUCCUUCUCCUCCUCCUCAGUGCUAACAAACAGCCUGCAGCAGCGCUCUGAAGCUCAUUUAUCAGGGAACAAACCAGUACUUAUCAGCCAAACUGAGACAUCUGCUCCCAUGGAAAACUGUCAGGAGGGUCUGCGAAAGAGACGCUCUAAUCAUGACCGUUGGAGGGGAGCAAGGAAGUGGAAUAAAUACUCAUCAUGUGCUGAGAAGAAGACUGCACAGAAAAAAAACCUGCAGAUUUUAAAAAAGAGAGAAAUGGAGAGAGAGGGAGAGUUUCUACUGCUGAAGAAGAAGGGAAUAACAUCUCCUGAUCUGCGGACAUUUUCUGUCUGUAAACACAGUCUGUGUAUAUGUGCUGGAAAAAAGUUUGUUUUAAUCAUGCAGAAAAACGGCUGAUUCAUCCCUGAAUGCUGAAUCUUCCUUCUUCUGAUCAUUGGGAGUUACACCCUGGAUCCAAAAGCCCAAGGUUCCUAACCCCCAAUUUCCACCGCAUUCAAAACGGCUCAGAUUUUCGCCAUCCACCAAUUGCUACCAGGUCCAUUUGUGAGGCAAAUUUCGUGGUGGAUUACAGACAGCAGGAAUCACAAGAACUCACAAGAACCCGCAAAUUUCCGUGCAAUCACGUGAUAACAAGUUGUCUCUAUAAAGACAGCAACAUAGACAUAUAAGCAGUAGAUUGUGUCCUUCCAGAGGAGGAAAUCUACUUCUAGACUUCUAGAAUCAGCAUCUCCUCAUCCAUGGUGUCAUCGGGGUGAAAUGAUGUCUAAAAACCUUUCACUUGUUCGUCUCCGUCAGUUUGCAUGGUGUGAAAUACGAUCCUCCUGAAACACGGAGUGUUUUAUUUUGAAAAGAAGCCGGAUGUUUUAUUUUGUGUCUGUGCCCGACUUCCUUUCCAGCACAGGUUAAUCUGUGCUGAAUUUAUCCGGCAUGCUCCGGCAUCCGCAAAAAAUAGAACUCUUGUGAUCAGCUGCGGAGUCUGGCGAUCCGCAGAAGAACGCAAAGAAGCCGGUGGAAAUUGACAUGUUAACUUGAAUGGUUACGAUCAGCUACGAUCGGAGGAUACCGACUUUUCGCAGACGUUCAGGUUGUGGUGGAAAUUGGGGGUAAUGCAGCUCAAAGGAGAGAGGACCAAGGAGAGGGGAGAGACAUCAGAGGAGCGAGAACCGAGAAUACAUGAGAGUGGCCCUCACAGGAGUCUCUGACUGACUGGUAGACCUCUGAAUCCAGUAUCACUCUCUGCCUGGGCGGUACAACUUCACCAAACUUCGAUCAGCUGAUCCAGAGAUGAUCAGCUGAUGAUGAGCUGCCCCAACCAAAAGUCCCCUGACUGAAUCUUAGAAAUCGUGAACAUCAGUGAUGUGUGAACCUUGAAAGAGUCUCCUCAAAACCCACCUGUGACAUUUAACUUCACUGAGGGACGCUGAAGCCGCCUCAGCCAAUCAGAGGCUCUAAUGACACUGAUGAAGAUUAACCGCCAUCAAUUGCUGAGAUUUUUUUUGAACAUUUUUUAAAAAAUCUGACAUUAAAGUUCUUCUGAUUAUAAAGUCCUGGGGCCUCAUGUAUCAAUACUUGCGUGGGACUCAUACCAGAAACGAGCGCACGCAAGGUCCGUCACGCUGAAAAAAAUCCGUAUGUAUCAAUGUGUGCGGGCGCCGAAAUCCACGUGUGUUUGCUUGAUAAAUCCCAAUCAGUGUGGGAUUGAGCGCAGAUGUCGGUGUGACUGGGCCCGCCCCCGUUACGCCCUCCUAUAAAUAUGCAGAUUUAUUUAAAUUGAGUCUCCUUGUCCUCGCACGCAGACAAAAUGACAAGAAAAACGAAAUUUAUGGCGUGCGAGGUGGAGGUGCUGGUGGCGGAGGUGGAGGAGCGACAGCGUGUUUUGUUUGGCAGCCUGUCCAGUGGCGUCAGUGCAAAAUGAAAACGCUUGGAGUGGGAGAAAGUUUGCAAGAGGGUGAACGCGGUGGGUUCCGAGACACGCACCCCCGCGGAGAUUAAAAAAAAGUGGUCGGACCUCAAGGUGGAGGUCAAGCGGCAUACAGCUGCCCUCCGGAGGAAUACCGGCCAGACAGGUGGGGGUCCGGGGGAGGAGACCCUCACGCCGUUCGAGCAGCGGGUGGUGGCGAUUAUUAUUACAGGGUAAGUGGCGUGUCACACAAAUGUCCACAUGCUUUGUCAUCCCACUGAGCAAAAGAUGUAUAUUAGACGUCUAGUCUAAGUUUAUACUUCAUUUCAACGUCGGGAUUCAGUCUAUUUUUAGACGUGAUUUAUACUUCGCCCUUAACUUCAUUUUUCGAUAACUUUUUAUGCAAUAAACAACUGUAAUGUGCAUAACUGACCUCUAAAUAGUGGAUUACAUUACCUAUGAUACCGUGGAGAGAGAUGAAAACGCAACAGAUACACAGAAGCAGGAAUUGAAAUGAACAAAUAUUUUUAUUGUGUCACAGAAAUCAAUGUGUCGGCCGGCUUGCGGAACCCAGCCCGCGGCAGCCCGUCCGCUGGCUCGGAGUCGUCGGCCAGGACCAGCGGCAUUCGGGCCACCCCGGCCCCAGCACCAGCAUCAGCACCAGUGCACUGACAAGCGGUGGAGCGUCCACCAGCCGCGAGGCUUCCGCUGGACCACCCGGACGCAGUGGAAGGGUCCUCACGGAGGCAGUCCUGCAAUCGCAGGAAGAAAUUAUCAGGGGGAUCGCGGGGAUCAACGAGCGGCUGGACCGGCUCAUAAAUGUCCUCGAGCGUCUGGUGGCGAAAAUAAAUUAAUUUGGCUCAUUGAACUGUGUAUUCACUUCUUACCCAUUCACCAUGUGGCGAUGAGAUUCUCCCGCGCGAGGACGGCGGCCUGGCAGGGAUCAGCUCGCAUCCCUCCGUCUGCUGCUGGUUCGUCAUGUGGGGCGACGUGCUGCUUGGCCACGGGGAUGUGGUGCACGCUUGUUACAUAGUGAGUCACCAAACACCGCUACACAGCGUCGCCAAAGUGCCGUCAACGCAAGUAUCGGCUCAACGCCAACUUCAACAACGCCAAUGCUCGUUUUGCGAUGAUAAAUCCGGAUGUGUGCGCCGAUUUUGGCGUACGCAAGGUUUUCUGGUGCCGCCAGCGUUGAUACAUAAGGACAAUCAGGAGGAGAAAUAAGAUGUAUUAAUGAGGAGGAGGAGGAAGAGGAGGAGGAGUGGAGGGGAGAGGAGGAGAGGAGAGGGGGAGGAGGAGAGGAGAGGAGGCAUGUUUGUGUGACAUGGUGGAGAGAGAGAGCAGAGUGUGUCCCGGCUUCGCAGAGACUCCGCCUCAGGCUGUGUGUGUGUUGUCCUCUCUCAGGUUGUGUGUGUGUGUGUGUUGUCCUCUCUUGGGUUGUGUGUGUAUAUGUGUGUUUGUGUUCCUGCUGUGAGUCUAUUAGCCGCUCCGCUCACAUCUCUAUCUUCACGCUGACGCUCCGUUCUCUCGCUCCACUGCUCCUCUCUUUACCUCCAUCUCCUUCGCCUGUCAUUAUUUCCUCCACGAUGACGUUGAGCAUCUAAGAGCGGGUGUGUGUGUUUGGAGUGGGGGCAGCAUCGCGGCCCCCAUGGACCCCCCAGCAGCCCCUGUGCUUAUGCUCAAUAGGGGGCGUUCUCUGGCUCCUUAUUAUUCCGACACUGUCGAUUCAGACGCUGGGUCGGCCGCUGUCAUCUCAUCUCGGUCACACCGCCUGGUUCUGACGCUCACACACUCUGACCGUGCUGACACAGCUGACACACUAAAGUCAUGGGUAAUGUGUGUGUGUGUCUGUGUGUUUGUGUUAGUGUGUGUGUGCAGAGAUGACAGCAGGCUCACUGUUUGAUGUGAUGUGCAGUGAGCUCAGCCAUGACAGCAGGAGGUACAAAGGCAUGUUGAGAGAGAGAGAGUGUGUGUGUGUGUGUGUCUGGAGCAGCUGAAGCGAUGCAGGUAUAUCUGAUGUUUUCUGUUGGUCUCAGACGGUUCCGACUAGAGAAUUUUACGCUGAAACGUUCAGAUCGUAGAAGUUUGAUCAAAGUAUAGGUGAGUUACUGAUCGGACUCCAUCACUGAGUUCAGAGGACUAGAGAUCAGGAGAUGAAGACACAGACACUAAGAGGCUGAAUUUUCUAUACUCUUUAAGUCCUUCAUCUCCAGAUAUCCUCCUCUAGAUCAGGAAUUACAGAUGUUAAAGAUCUGAAGCAUCUAGAUCUCUCCCAGAGAUUAUAUACAAACACAGCUGCUGAGUCAGCACUUAAAUCAUUAAGACUCAGAGUGAGAGUCUGGGGACCUCCCAGUCCUCCAACCAAAUGAAACUCACCUAGAGGACAUCAGAGCUCCACAAGUUGGCAAAGCUCCCUCAGGUUGGUCCAGUCCAUGUUUAAGUUCCCUAACGUGGGUCCGGUCCAUGUUAAAGCUUUCUCAGGUUGGUCCAGUCCAUGUUGAAGCUUUCGCAGGUUAAUCCAGUCCAUGUAAAGUUCCCGAAGGUAGGCCCAGUCCAUGUAAUGUUCCCUAAGGUUGGUCAAGUCCAUGUUAAAGUUCCCUAAGGUUGGUCCAGUCCAUGUAAAAGUUCCCUAAGGUUGAUCCAGUCCAUGUUAAAGCUUUCUCAGGUUGGUCCAAUCCAUGGUUAAGCUCCCUAAAGCUGAUCUAGUCUAUGUUAAAGUUCCCUAAAGAUAGUCCAGUCCAGGUCAAAGGUCCCUGAGGUUGUUCCAGUCUAUGUUAAAGUUGCCUUGGGUGGGCCGAGUCCAUGUUAAAGUUCUCUAAGAUUAGUCCAGUCCAUGUUGGAGUUCCCUCAGGUUGAUCUAGUCCAUGUAAAAGUUCCCUAUCGCGGGUCUAGUCCAUGUAAAAGUUCCCCAGGGUUGGUCCAGUCCAUGUAUAAGUUCCGUAAAUUGGGUCCAUUCCAUGUUAAAGUUCAAUAAGUUGGGUAUACUCCAUGUUAAAGUUCCCUCAGGUUGGUCCAGUCCAUGUUGGAGUUUACUCAGGUUGGUCCAGUCCAUGUAACAGUUCCCAAAGGUGGGUCCAGUCCAGGUCAAAGUUCCCUAAGGUUGGUCCAGUCCAUGUUUAAGUUACGGUGGAUCUAGUCCAUGCUAAAGUUCCCUAAGGUUGGUCCAGUCAAUGUUAAAGCUUCCUUAGGAUGGUGCAGUCCAUGUUAAAGUUCCCUAAGGUGGGUCAAGUCCAUGUUGAGGUUCCCAAAGGUCGGUCCAGUCCAUGUAACAGUUCCCAAUGGUUGGUCCAGACCAUGUUGGAGUUUCCUAAGGUUGGUCAAGUCUUUGUAACAGUUACGGUGGAUCUAGUCCAUGCUAAAGUUCCCUCAGUUGGGUCCAGUCCAUGUCCUCAGACAGCUCAUCCAAUCAUGGAUGCAGAAGCUCGGAGUCCAGGAGAAAGUCGGGACCGCCCUCUUGCCAUAGAACUCCAGAGAAGCUCAGCGUCCGAUGGGCGGGACAAAGCCCAGCAUUUAUCCAAUGAGCGUCUAGUUUCGCUGCUGGAACAACCCACUUUGAGCUUCCACAUAGAAGUCAGCAGAAGCUGGGCGUCCGGCUGUGUAAAGCGCUGAGGUGCUGCGAGGAUAAUUGAGAACGAAAUUGUGCAGAAUCAGUUUCUUAUCACACUGUGAUAAGAAGCUGAUUCUUAUCACAGUUGGUCCAGUCCAUGUAAAAGUUCUCCAAGUUUGGUCCAGUCCAUGCAAAGUUUCCUAAGGUGGGUCCAGUCCUGGUAAAAGUUCCCUAAAGUUGGUCCAGUCCAUGUAAAAGUUCCCUUAGGUUUGUCCAGUCCAUGUUAAAGUUCUGUAAGGUUUGUCCAUUCCAUACAAAAGUUCCCUAAGACUGGUCCAGUCUAUGUUAAAGUUCCCUAAGAUUGGUCCAGUCCAUGUAAAAGUUCUCUGAGGUUGGUCUAGUCCAUGUUAAAGCCUUCUCAGGUUGGUCCAGUCCAUGUUAAAUUUUCCUCAGGAUGAUCUAGUCCAUGUAAAAGUUUCCUAAGGUUGUUCCAGUCCAUGUAAAGGUUCCCUCAAGUUGGGUCCAGACCAUGUUAAAGUUUCCUCAGGUUGGUCCAGUCUAUGUAAAAGUUCCCUAAGGUGGUUCCGGUGCAUGUAACAGUGCCCUACGGUUGGUCCAGUCCAUGUUAAAGUUCCCUAAGGUUGGUCCAGUCCAUGUUUAAGUUCCCUAAGGUGGGUCCAGUCCAUGUUAAAGCUUUUUCAGGUUGGUCCAGUCCAUGGUAAUAUUCCAUAAGGUUGGUCCAGUCCAUGAUAAAGUUCCCUAAGGAGGGAGCACCGAGAGGGACAGGAAGAGACUGAAUAGACUGGUCAGGAGGGCCAGUUCUGUCCUGGACUGUUCUUUGGACUCCCUGGAGGAGGUGGGUGAGAGGAGGAUGUUAACAAAGCCUGUAUCCAUCAUGGACAAUCCCUCUUACCCACUGCAUCUGACUGUGGGGGCCUUAAGCAGCUCCUUCAGCAGCAGACUUAGACUUCCACCUUGCAGGACGGAGCGCUACCGCAGGUCUCUCCUUCCCUCUGCAAUAACACUUUACAACGAACUAUAAUAAUAACUGGAUUUACACACCACUUUUUUCUGGCAUUUAAAUUGUGUAUAUUGUAGUUAGUUUUAUUUUUCUCCUCCCUUUUUCCUUUUUCUAAAUUUUUCUUAAUUAUUACAUUUAUUUAAGUUCUUAAUAUUAGGAUCUUUAUUUUUAUAACUGCAUUUUUGCACUCUGUGUCUGUGAUGCUGCUGUGACAAAAAAAUUUCCCCCAUGGGGGAUCAAUAAAGGAAUAUUCUAUUCUAUUCUAUUCUAUUCUAUUCUAAAAGUUCCCUAGAGUUGGUCCAGUCCAUGUUUAAGUUCUCUUAGCUUUGUCCAGUCCAUGCUAAAGCUUUCUCAGGUUUGUCCAGUCCAUGUUAAUAUUCGAUAAGGAUGGUCCAGUCCAUGUUAAAGUUCCCUAAGGUGGGUCCAGUCCAUGUAAAAGUUCCCUAAGGUUGGUCCAGUCCAUGUUUAAGUUCUGUAAGGUUUGUCCAGUCCAUGUUACAGUUUCCUUAGGUGGGUCCAGUCCAUGUUAAAGCUUUCUCAGGUUGGUUCAGUCCAUGUCAAAGCUUCCUCAGGUUGGUCCAAUCCAUGUAAAGUUCCCUAAGGUGGGUCAAGUCCAUGUUAAAGCUUUCUCAGGUUGGUCCAGUCCAUGUCAAAGCUUCCUCAGGUUGGUCCAGUCCAUGUAAAAUUUCUUUAAGUUUGGUCCAGUCCAUGUUAAGUUCCCUAAGGUGGGUCCAGUCCAGGUUAAAGUUCCCUAAAGUUGGUCCACUUCAUGUUAAGGUUCCCUCAGGUGGGGCCACUUUCCAGCAGAACAUGGUCUUUAGUGGUUCUGAAGUAGACCCUCACAGAUCCAGAGAGUUCAGUGACUCCUGUGUAGGUCUUUGAUGGUUCCUCUCACAGCAUCUCUUCCUUUCUUAUUAUCUGAAGCUGCAGGAGCCUCAUUGGUCAGCAGAGCUGUCAAUCAUCAUCAUCAUCAUUACAGCUUUCUAGGAAUGUAGUUUUUUUUCAGUCUGCGCAAACAAACGAGAUUCAAGAAUUUAAACUAGUAAAAGAGACCAAGACUGUGUGUGUCUGUGUGUUUAAAUUUACAUGCAAAUUAUUAGGGGGGUGUUGUAUAAAUUCAAGAGACUGACAACACUUAAAAACACUUUUCAAUCAUGUGCCUCCACACUCUCUCCCUACCACACACACUCACACGGUCUGUGUGUGUAUGUUUGUGUGUGUGUGUGUGUGUGUGUGUGUGUGUCCUGCGUGCUGAUGAAAGGGAAUCUUUUUAAUUGCUUUUGUGUAAUUUGUGUUUUUCAUUUACGCUGAGACAAAGCGGUGGCGGUGGCGGUGGCGGUGGCGGUGGCGGUGGCGACGGAUGUUUUGGUGUGUAGGUGUGUUUCAGGAUUACAGCUCAUGUGGAAAAAAACAUUCAAAUCAAAAUUAAAAUUGACUCCAGUCUCCUCGGUUCUGUAGCGGGUGGAUAAAAACCUUUUUGUUUUUCUUUGUCGUCCUCUUAAACUCUGAUUCUCCUUUUUUUCGGACUCUAACAGAAGAACUUUUCCUUUCUUUCGUUCUCUCCUCCAGGUGUUCAGAUGUUCCUCUUUCUCAGCGGUGCUCAUGUGUAGUGUCUGUUUCUCUGUCUGUCUUUAGGCUUUAAACCAUUCGAUAAAACAUUCAUCCUGACACAAAGUCAGAGUGAAAGUUGAGAACGCUCUGUUUCUGAACACAACAAAUAAGCAUUGUGGACUUCCUGUCUCUGCCUCCUGAUCUUUUUUUCAUCGCACAGAGCCGUGAAGUUUUUAACCACAAUCGUGUUUCAUACAGAGAGAACUCACUCACCCUGAAAACUGAGUAUUUUUUAAACUGAUCAGAAUAUAAAAUCAUGUUAUUGUCAGACAGGUAUGUCCAGAUUAAAACUCUUAUUUUGUAAAGCCUUUGUUCAGCCUCUGUUCAGGUAAAAUCCAUGAAUUUGUAAGGGUACAAAUUAUGGGGUGCCAAAUAGAUCCAAGAGAAAGGACUGUACAGACCUUCAACGGAUCAGAUCAGAGCAGCAUGUGAUGACAUCAGACAACAGAAUAACCCCCAAUUGCCACCACAUCCAGAAUGGCUACGAAAAGGCCAUAUCCGCGGAUCAUAGCUGAUUGUAUCCAUUCAAGUUAAUGUGUCUAUUUCCACCGGCUUCUUUCCGUUCCUCUGCGGAUUGCCAGACUGAGAGCUGAGUCAGGUUCUCUUCAGAUCCAUGAUGAGGGUAGUGUUGUGUCGUUCAUGAACGAUUCGUUCAAAAAAACUGAACUGCUGAAUGAAUGACGUGAAUAGAAUCACUCUGAGACUUGAUUCGUUCCUUUCUCAGUUCAGCUGAGCUCAGCCGCGAGC
rnacentral:lncRNA from 1 species